GCUAACUUUCAAAGAGCUCGAUCAUCUGAUCAACGGACAUGCCAUGAAGCUCCAUCUUUCCCAAGAGCUCCUCACAUGAUUCCCUUUCUCUUUCCCCGGUCAACCUCCCAAACCCAUGCUAACUUUCAACGAGCUCGAUCAUCUGAUCAACGAACAUGCCAUGAAGCUCCAUCUUUCCCAAGAGCUCCUCAAGCCGUUUCUUACUGAACCUCAUUUUCACCUCUUUAGAGUCCCCACCAUAUUCUCUCUAGAACCCAUUUUGCUCUAUCUCUGCCCAAACACACAC
rnacentral:lncRNA from 1 species